rnacentral:rRNA from 1 species
CGCGGCCUAUCAGCUUGUUGGUGAGGUAACGGCUCACCAAGGCAACGACGGGUAGCUGGUCUGAGAGGACGAUCAGCCACACUGGGACUGAGACACGGCCCAGACUCCUACGGGAGGCAGCAGCAGGGAAUAUUGCACAAUGGGCGCAAGCCUGAUGCAGCGACGCCGCGUGAGGGAUGAAGGCCCUCGGGUUGUAAACCUCUUUCAGGAGGGACGAAGCGAAAGUGACGGUACCUCCAGAAGAAGCCCCGGCCAACUACGUGCCAGCAGCCGCGGUAAUACGUAGGGGGCGAGCGUUGUCCGGAUUCAUUGGGCGUAAAGAGCUCGUAGGCGGCUCAGUAAGUCGGCCGUGAAAGCCCGGAGCUCAACUCCGGGACGCCGGUCGAUACUGCUGUGGCUAGGGUCCGGUAGAGGAGAGUGGAAUUCCCGGUGUAGCGGUGAAAUGCGCAGAUAUCGGGAGGAACACCAGUAGCGAAGGCGGCCCUCUGGGCCGGUACCGACGCUGAGGAGCGAAAGCUAGGGGAGCAAACAGGAUUAGAUACCCUGGUAGUCCUAGCCGUAAACGUUGGGCACUAGGUGUGGCGGAUUCAUUGACAUCUGCCGUGCCGGCGCUAACGCAUUAAGUGCCCCGCCUGGGGAGUACGG